rnacentral:rRNA from 1 species
CCUACGGGAGGCAGCAGUGGGGAAUAUUGGACAAUGGGCGAAAGCCUGAUCCAGCAACGCCGCGUGGAGGAUGAAGGCUUUCGGGUUGUAAACUCCUGUCAGGUGGGACGAAAGGAUUCCGGUCAAUAACCGGCCUCUUUGACGGUACCAUCGGAGGAAGCCCCGGCUAAUUCCGUGCCAGCAGCCGCGGU